GAUGAAGAACGCAGCGAAAUGCGAUAAGUAAUGUGAAUUGCAGAAUUCAGUGAAUCAUCGAAUCUUUGAACGCACAUUGCGCCCGUCAGUAUUCUGGCGGGCAUGCCUGUUCGAGCGUCAUUACGCCCCUCAAGUCCACUGUGGACUUGGUGUUGGGGAUCGGCGAGGCUGGUUUUCCAGCACAGCCGUCCCUUAAAUUAAUUGGCGGUCUCGCCGUGGCCCUCCUCUGCGCAGUAGUAAAACACUCGCAACAGGAGCCCGGCGCGGUCCACUGCCGUAAAACCCCCCAACUUUUUAUAGUUGACCUCGAAUCAGGUAGGACUACCCGCUGAACUUAAGCAUAUCAAUAAGCGGAGGA
rnacentral:misc_RNA from 1 species